ACUUUCAAAGGAUAAUAGUAAUCCAAUGGUCUUAGGAGCCACUAAUCUUGGUGCAAAUCCAAGUGAAAGUA
rnacentral:tRNA from 1 species